CCGGCUGCCGAGGUCAGGAUGGCUCAGAAAAGGGGACGUAGGUGUGACAGAAAGGAGGUCAACGAGGAUGCUUUGAAUCUCACGGAUUUGCUGCUGCCCCCUACGUAUUCUUAGACUCGGCGUGAACACCAACAGUGGGCAAAAUUUGCCAUCGGGAAUGGCAGGUGUGGUCCUGACUUGUCCCAAGGGGAUUAUAAACUACCAUUUUCCCAAAGUUUUGAUUGGGAAUGAUGCUGAGCUGGGCACAUGACGUCAUAGCAUUUGCCAAUAUGUAAACAAACAGCGCGAGGAUCAGCUGGCGUCCGCCUAAAAAAAUAAGCAUUUAAUCUCGUGUGGUGCGACAGAAGGGAUUUAAAAUAUGUAUCUUCGGUGGAUUUUUCAAAGCUGAUGCAGUUGUUCCCGCAACGUUUUGUGAGAAAAAGAGCAUCUGAAGGAAAAACGGAUGUCGAGCGCUCUGUGCUUUCAAAGGCAAGAGUGUUUCUUGCUAGGACGUUUUAGCCUCCUGGGGAGUAAACCUUGAACUGAGUCCGGUUUCUGGUUUUUAUCCUCCUUGAUCCGGGACCCAGACGCUGGUCUGCUCUCCUGCAGCAUCUCCCAGUUUGAUGAUGGAGGCACACUACCUCCUGCCUUUGCCAGCCCUUAGGAGAGGCUUCCGUCCUGCUCCGGGGAGCUCUGGACUGGAGCGGUGGUGAGCUGCAGGUGCAUGGAAAGGUGCUACCCACAUCUGCUCCUUCUUCUCUGCUCUUCUUCUAGAUUUACAAAAGCAGGAGGCAUUGAAAGGCUGAAUUUACUAUUUAAAGUCACGAAGACACUCGAUUUAAUUGUGGGCAAAUAUACUGAAUAAGAGGACAAUAUAAUAAUAGUAAUAAUCAGAAUCAUCACCACAACCACCAUCAUCAUCAC